AACAAUUAUGCUGUAGAUUGAAGAGGAAUAAGAAGACGAAGAGCAUCGACCAUGGCGAUGCAUAAGCUCAUAACUCGUGGAGCAGCUCGUGCGGUUCCAGGCUCAUCUUCUUCCGCCAAUCCUUUCCGUGCUCUAGGCAACGCUCUUAUCGGUUCUUCUUCCAAGACUUAGGUUUUCGUUUGAUUCACAAGCAGGAAAGAUUGAAGGAGAUACCUCAUCCACGCCCACAGCUUUUGAGCAGUAAUUUUGUCCAAACACUCAUGGCCACAUACUGCACCAGAUCUGAGAGAACGCUCACAAGGAUGAGCUUAAGAAGAACGAAGAUACCAUUUCAAGGUCAGCCGAAUCAUAUUGAUGUCAGGACAGUAAAUGGAUACGGUCAUGGGGAUGAUUACAGAGGAAACAAUGAAUCACAGAUGACUAAAUAUUCUAGGGAGGCAUUAAUUCAGCUCUUAAAUCUGGUGCAGUUGAAACUACAUCCUAGAUUUUUAUAAAGUAGAGUGUCCGCUUUGACAGGAUAUCAAUUUUUGAUGAAGUUUUCAAGCUAAUGUCACGGUUAGACUUGGUGGUAGACUUUUCUGAAUUCUCCCGCUUCUAUGAUUUUGUUUUCUUUAUGUGCCAUGAAAAUGGUCAGAAAAAUAUCACUGUAAAUAAGGCGAUUACUGCAUGGAGGUUAGUAUUAGCUGGGAGGUUUCGGUUGCUGAAUCAAUGGUGUGAUUUUGUUGAGGUUUGAGACUUGAAGUUUGUUGAUCAAUAACAUAUUUGUCAAGGUAGAUACCCCUGCAUAGAUUAUCCAUGAAUAAAAUUAGCAAGAAUGUGUUCAUUUUAAAACUUUAGAUGCUAAUGUUGGAUAAUUGAGAGGAGUAAUGUGGUAAAUGUUGUACCAAUAUUUCAUAAUUUUCAGCAAUUUAGAACUUCUCCUUUCCAAAGCUUGGCCACUGCGAAUUUUGGUAUUGCCAAUGGAUGCCACAGCUAGUGGAACCCCAACUAUACAAUACCAUAACAUUCUUGACCAGCUAAUUACCACUAUUGUUGUUGCCACUCCUGUACCAACAUUCAAAAUGAGGCAAUGCCAUCGCUUUGGGACCUUAAUCCCCAUAGAACUCUCUUUAGCUGCCAACCCCUCAAUUGUCCUUCAUGUCCUUACUGCAUGCAAUUUGGAUCCUUAAGACCUUGCAAAGCUAGAGGCAAGUGACCUGUUGCUCUAAAGUUUGGCAAUGUAUUGGUCUUUUAAAUCUUAGAAUUGAUAAUGCUGCUGGUUUGAUUUUGGAUGUGUGUGUUGCAGGCAAUAUGCUCAUUUUUCUGGCAGUCUGCAAACUUUGCUCCUGACUUUGAAUUGUCCAUAUCAGAGCUUGCUACUCUGGACAUGUGCCAAAAGAGUGGUAUAUUAAGCCAAUGACAGUGGAGAAACGUCAAGAAUUGAAGCAAAGAUGUGGGGGUUUCAUGAAAACUGGUCUUGAAGUUCUUGUUGGCUAGAGAGGCAUGUUUCAGAAGGGAGAAAUCACAGGCAAUAGUAGGGCUGGGUCACAGCAUUACUGUAACUUCAAAAGGAGCUAUCUAUUCAUUUGGCUCUAACAACUCAGGACAGCUUGGACAUGGCACCACUGAAGAGGAAAGGAGGCCUCGGCAAAUCAGAUCUCUGCAAGGCAUUCAAAUUGUUCAAGCAGCUGCUGGGGCUGGCAGGACAA